CUCCCUGUGGCUCAGUUGGUAGAGCAUGGUGUUUGCAACGCUAGGGUUGUGGGUUCGAUUCCCACAGGGGGC
rnacentral:tRNA from 1 species